rnacentral:rRNA from 1 species
UACGGAGGGUGCGAGCGUUGUCCGGAAUCACUGGGCGUAAAGGGCGCGUAGGCGGUCUGCUAAGCGUGCGGUGAAAGCCUGGGGCUCAACCCCAGGUCUGCCGUGCGAACUGGUGGACUAGAGCACUGUAGAGGCAGGUGGAAUUCCGGGUGUAGCGGUGGAAUGCGUAGAGAUCCGGAAGAACACCGGUGGCGAAGGCGGCCUGCUGGGCAGUUGCUGACGCUGAGGCGCGACAGCGUGGGGAGCAAACGGG